UUCCCACUCGAUCACCGAAGUUAAGCAACGUCAAGCCCAGGCAGUACUUAGAUGGGUGAUCGCUUGGGAAUAACAGGUACUGUAA